rnacentral:rRNA from 1 species
UACGGAGGGUGCAAGCGUUAUCCGGAUUCACUGGGUUUAAAGGGUGUGUAGGCGGGGAUUUAAGUCAGUGGUGAAAUCUCCAGGCUCAACCUGGAAACUGCCAUUGAUACUAUUUACCUUGAAUUCUGUUGAGGUGGGCGGAAUACAUCAUGUAGCGGUGAAAUGCUUAGAUAUGAUGUAGAACACCAAUUGCGAAGGCAGCUCACUAAACAGACAUUGACGCUGAGGCACGAAAGCGUGGGGAUCAAACAGG